rnacentral:rRNA from 1 species
GGACGAACGCUGGCGGCGUGCCUACUACAUGCAAGUAGAACGCUGAAGAGAGGAGCUUACUCUUCUUGGAUGAGUUGCGAACGGGUGAGUAACGCGUAGGUAACCUGCCUUGUAGCGGGGGAUAACUAUUGGAAACGAUAGCUAAUACCGCAUAACAAUGGAUGACACAUGUCAUUUAUUUGAAAGGGGCAAUUGCUCCACUACAAGAUGGACCUGCGUUGUAUUAGCUAGUAGGUGAGGUAAUGGCUCACCUAGGCGACGAUACAUAGCCGACCUGAGAGGGUGAUCGGCCACACUGGGACUGAGACACGGCCCAGACUCCUACGGGAGGCAGCAGUAGGGAAUCUUCGGCAAUAGGGGCAACCCUGACCGAGCAACGCCGCGUGAGUGAAGAAGGUUUUCGGAUCGUAAAGCUCUGUUGUAAGUCAAGAACGGGUGUGAGAGUGGAAAGUUCACACUGUGACGGUAGCUUACCAGAAAGGGACGGCUAACUACGUG